AACGAACGCUGGCGGCAGGCUUAACACAUGCAAGUCGAGCGCCCCGCAAGGGGAGCGGCAGACGGGUGAGUAACGCGUGGGAAUCUACCCAACUCUACGGAAUAACUCAGGGAAACUUGUGCUAAUACCGUAUACGCCCUUCGGGGGAAAGAUUUAUCGGAGUUGGAUGAGCCCGCGUUGGAUUAGCUAGUUGGUGGGGG
rnacentral:rRNA from 1 species